rnacentral:rRNA from 1 species
AUUGAACGCUGGCGGCAUGCUUUACACAUGCAAGUCGAACGGUAACAGGGUGCUUGCACCGCUGACGAGUGGCGAACGGGUGAGUAAUGCGUCGGAACGUGCCGAGUAGUGGGGGAUAACGCAUCGAAAGGUGUGCUAAUACCGCAUACGUACUGAGGUAGAAAGUGGGGGACCUUCGGGCCUCACGCUAUUCGAGCGGCCGACGUCUGAUUAGCUAGUUGGUGAGGUAAAGGCUCACCAAGGCGACGAUCAGUAGCGGGUCUGAGAGGAUGAUACGCACCACUGGGAGUGGGACACGGGCCAGACGCCUACGGGGGGCAGCAGGGGGGAAGUUUGGACAAUGGGCGCAAGCCUGAUCCAGCCAUGCCGCGUGUCUGAAGAAGGCCUUCGGGUUGUAAAGGACUUUUGUCCGGGAGCAAAUACCCAGUGCUAAUAACGCUGGGGGCUGAGAGUACCGGAAGAAUAAGCACCGGCUAACUACGUGCCAGCCGCCGCGGUAAUAC